rnacentral:rRNA from 1 species
GGAAUAGGACCCUGUCCUCCUAUUUUCAGUUGGUUUGCCGCGAGGACCAGGGUAAUGAUUAAUAGGGAUAGUUGGGGGCAUUAAUAUUUAAUUGUCAGAGGUGAAAUUCUUGGAUUUAUGAAAGAUUAACUUCUGCGAAAGCAUCUGCCAAGGAUGUUUUCAUUAAUCAAGAACGAAAGUUAGGGGAUCGAAGACGAUCAGAUACCGUCGUAGUCUUAACCAUAAACGAUGCCGACCAGCGAUUAGGAGACGUUGAAUACAAAACACCACCAUGCGCAUUGCGGUCGUCUUUGGUGUCGCUCACAAGGCGGCACCGGGGCGGCUUAGCUCGCAUGGCACCGGUGAAUGA